rnacentral:lncRNA from 1 species
CUUCCCUUUCCUAGCCUGUGAAAACCUCCUGCCUACAUAAACUCCUUAGGACAGAGCCUGGCAUGUAGUGAGCCCUCUGUGAGUAUUCGCUACCCCUAUUGUUAUUUCAUGAGCUCUCAAAGCACACAACCAUGGGCCUGUUUUACUUCUGGUUGAAAUGGAAGCUGGGAGGGCAGAGGGCAGAUGCCUGAAGCUAAGCAGCCUAUUAAAAGUAGAAUAGAAAUAGACGAGAGGAAACCCAAGCGCUUUUCUCUUCAGAUAGCUAUCAAACCACGCUUCGCUGCAGACUAUGGGCUUGGGUAUGGCUAGAGAUCAAAGGCCCUCUUAUGUGCAGUGACAUUUGUGAGCACAGGGCUGAGUUAUAAAACUCUUGAAUGGAAGGUUUUGGCACUUGGAACAGCUUGGGAUAGAAAGGCUGGGUUUUUAUGGAGGCGAUUCAUGGAACUGCUUGUGCUGGUGGGGAAACCAGACUGUUAUGACUCACUUGUCUCUUUAUUGCUUUGGACCAAGCAACUGUUGUUUCCUUUUAAGUCCCUCUGUAGGAGCUGCACUACAGCCCAGGGCCAAGUAACUUCUUCAGGAAGACAGUGUGGCCUCAGUGAGUGUGAACACGAAUACUUCUUUGUUGGGCUUUGGGUCAGGAGGACUGGACAAGCCGAAUAAGGAUUUUCUUUUUAUCAGGGGAUAGAAUUUCUUUUGGAAACCGGCAGCAUCCUUAAUGCUUCUUUAACUUUAGAUAGUCUUUCCUUUUGUCUGUCUGCCAUUUUCCCUUUCUGAAGGCCCAGGCUAACUUGGAUUGUGUGACUGGUAGAGGAUAGUGGAAUAACUUUGGAAAGUAGAAAUCAGUGUGUCUGGGUUGCUACAUAUGGAACUAGGGAGAGCAGAAGGGGUCAUUUGGAGUCCAGUUUGCAUUGCUAGGUCUCCUGGGAGAAACUGGGAAGAGGAGUUUUGGACUGAUGGUAAGACUUAGUGGUAGACAGACUUGUAAGACAGCUCCCAAUGUUUUCCACCUCCUGGUAUUUACUCCUUUGUGUAAUUUCCUCCUCUUGUGUUUAGGCUAGACCUCAUGAUUAGUAUAUGCGAAUGUGAGAAUAUUCUCAUAAAUAGAAUGUGACAAGAGUAAUGAGAUGUCAUUUUGUGAUUAGAUUACAAAAGUCUAUGAUUUCUACCUUGCUAAGGCUUUCUCUUCCUUCCACUUUCUCUUCCUUUCUUUUGCCAUCUUGGCUUGUGUGCUCUGAUGAAGCCAGAUGCUGUGGUGGGGAGACAUGUGACGAGGAAUCAAGGGGAUGGCCUCUGGUCAAUAUCCUGCAAAGCACUGAGUUCCCUGGUCUGAUGCGCAUGAGGAACUGAAUACUUUAACAACACUGGGUGAGUUUGGAAGCGCAUCCUGCCCUUAUUGAACUUUGAGGUGAUGACUGCAGCCCCAGCUGUCACCUUGAUUUCUGUCUUGUGAGAUACUCUGAAAGCUGAGAACCCAACUAAACAGUAUCUGGAUUCCUGGACUCUCAAAACUAUGAGAUAAUAAAUGUGUAUUCCUUUAAUCUGCUAAAUUUUGAGAUAGUUCUUAGCGCAGCAGUAAAUUACUAAUAUACCGGCACUGUAUUUUAAAUCAUGCUUUCUUCCCCAGUGGUUUGAAAUGCCACUGACAAGUUUCAAGUUACCAUUUAUUUGGGGGGUGGAGUGGGGUUCUGUUGUCUGUUUCCAGACUUCUUAUUCUGUUUUCUUAAUUCUUCCUUUUUUUUUGGUCUUGGUGCCUCUUCUAUUUUCUUCACGUAACAUUAUUUCAUAGGAAUUUGUGAGGAAACUUUAAUGGUUGCCAGAGGUGUCUGGACCAUGGAGAACACAGCUGUAAGAACUGAGGUUUUGAAGGACUUGGAUUCCCAAUGAAUACACUAGGCAUAGACUCAAGAGACAGAGACCAUUCCAAACAUUCUGGAUUGGCCCCCUCACUAUGCAUGAUGAACUAGCUUCAUGGCUAGAGUGGUGAGUAUGAUUACAUGUUCUUGGGAAAAAGCAAAAGGGAAUUUUAGCCUAUCUUAGUCUAUUAUUCUUCUACUGAGAAUUUUAUAUAAAUUAUUAAACUUUUCACUAUAGUGUAGGUUAUUAAAAAUUAGACCAUGUGAUAGAGAAGCCUACAUGCCCAUCUAUCAAAGCAGGAAAUGAGUUUAAAGGAAUACAUCUAUUUCUCUUUUUUCCCUCAUAGGGUAAUAGAAUGUGAGACCAGAGAAGUCUUUGAGAUUAUCCAACACAGCUCUCCCAAUUUUCAAAUGGGCAGAGCAACCACAGACAGGGAUGCUGAGGACAAUUCCAGUUUAUACCAGUUGUUCAGAAUAGCAAUGAAUAGCACUUCCUUUCACUGUCAAAAUGUCUUGGUUUGGAUAGUAAAUUAUAUGAUCAUUCUAUUGAGGAGAAUAGUGAAAUUCUUAGAAGUGAAAGGACUUUCUUCUUUGCCUUAAGUUUUUUUUUCUUUUUUUUUUUUAAUCAAUUAUAACUGGAUAAUGUCAACAACAGAUUUCUCCAACUCCUACCCUAGGAAGUAUAUCCAAAUGUAAAUAUACUUACAAUUUUUUUUUCUCGUUAAGUACAAUGUAAAUGUGAGGUCUCAACUAACAAAACUCCUGGGAAACCAAUUAAUAUUUAAUUGGUUUGAAGACACAUAAUGGAGUGACCAAAUGAUUGAAGACAGAGCUAAACUAAACACUAGGGGUUACAUAAUUUUCAAGAGGUCAUUUGACUACUGUACUUUAAAUUUAGGAGCUAAACUUAAAGGCACUUGAUUGUUGAUUGCUCUUUCUAUGUUGUUUUCUUUUACAAUCUGUAUGGUAGGUUUUGGCAAAAUGCCGGGCUGAGCUAAUAGAUACCCCUGCCCUGCCUCUUGCAAGUGCAUAGAAUAAAGAUAUUAUGAAGAACCCCCCAAACCUCCAAUUAAUCAUAAAGGAGUAGGUUGAUAAGUCUAACUUCAUCAAUCUAACAUCUUCUAUGUAUCAAAAGAUACCAUGAAGAGAAUGAAAACACAAGCUAUAGAAUGGGAAAAGGUAUUUGUUACAUAUCUCACUGAUAAAUGAGUUGUAUCUAGAAUUCUUAUAAAUUAAUAAGAAAAUGACAACUCAAUAGAAAAAGCAUGCACUUCAGUAAAGAGGAUGCCACACAUUUCCCUCUCUCUCCCCCUUCCCUUUCCUUUCCCUAAUUUUAGGUUAAAGAUAUGCAAUCGUUGAACAUACUGUCCUUUUAGCUUAGUGAAAAAUUUCAAAAUAAAACAUUAAGGGAAAUACAAAUAUAGCCAAACUCAAAGAAAAAAUAUUAAAAGAUGGCAGAAAUGAAAAGAUAACUCACAAUGAGAGCAGUAGCUGUACCAACCAAUGCUACAGUGACUUAGGAAUAGACCAGACUUUGAUAUGGGCCCCUGGAACUUGGGGGUAGAAAUUUAACUCCCUUGCAGUGACAUGAGAUAUAUGACACACAGAACUAAAACUGAGCUGCCUACAUAUAACCAGAUAGCAGGGAGUGGCUGCUUUCACCAAAAAAGGGGACUAGAAAAUUCUUCUUAAUAACCCCAAAAAGCAGGAAGGGAGUUUGUCUGUGCCUGAUAUUCUGGAUAGAAAAAUGUCCUCUGUUAAAAGUGAAACCCCAUCCCUGUCCCACAUGUUAGUGUUGAGUCCAAAUAUUCUCUAACUGCAUUAUAAAUAGACCAAUGAACCCUCUAAAACCAUCCAGAGAAGCAAAUGCAAACUACUCUGAAGGGAUACUUUCGUAACUUCAGGUGCAUGAGAUGUUCAGUAAGAAAUUAGCUCACAACCAAAAAUAAUAACUCUCAUAAGGGAACCAUCCCCUGUGAUGAAGGGUUGGUAGGUACAUUGUGAGGAAGGGCUAGCACUUUGAAGACUUGGAAUUGUGUCAUCAUCAUGUGAGAGAGAUGAAACAAUCAAAUAGAUUUUAGAAAAAUAAAUUAAAAUGAAAGAAGGGGACACUGAAAAAUGAAAACGUAUAUUUGGAAAAUAAACAAAUUAAACUUCUAAUUAUUAAAAUAGUCAUUAAAACCCCUAUGUGAAUGGGUUAAAUAGCAGAGGAAACACAGCUGAAGUGAACUGGAAGGUUUUUCUGAGGAAAUUACCCAAAAUGCCAUGCAGAAAGAUUAUGAGAUGGGGAAAAAUGAAAGCGAGGUUGUGAUAGAAUGAUCAUAGGAUGAGAAGGACCAAAAUAUGUCUAAUUGAUGUUCCAGAAGGAGAGAAGAGAAAAGGACUUGGAAAAGCACUGGUGAAAAAAAUAAUGACUGAGAAUUUUCCAGAAGAGAUGAAAUACAUGGCUAACUGGAUGGGAAAAUGAGACCAUUUUUUAGUUUCUCCUGAGACCAAAAGAUCUAGAACAAAAUUCAAUAGGUCACAAGCAUGACCCAGAUUUUAAAGUUAGCUUCUUGUCACAAACACAGGACAUGCUAAUAGACUGCAAAACUGGUUCUGACAAUAUGAGCCAACUGUCUCCUUCUGAUCUAUAUAAAGAGUUAAAGAUGAAAAGGCUUAGAGAGGGAAUUUUUAGGAGUCACUGAUGUGCUAUGUUCUUAUGACCACUCAUGGAGGAGAAGCAGAAAGAUGCUUCCCCCUUACAAACCAAAAGAAAGUAACUUCAAGGGUUACCUGGAAAGCUUGACAUGUGUCUCCUGAAGCUGGAGGAUCCUAGGGAAGAUAUAAUAUCUCAUGCCUGAAAAAUCUAAAAUCAGGAGAUCAUGGUUGGAAGUAUUUCUGACCGGCAGCAGAGUGACAAGCACUUGGGGUGGGGUUGCUGAGCUGCAUCUUUACUAACAGAGCAAAGCUGCCUGCUUCCUGAACCAUGGAAAGGAAGAGCUGAAUUUGAAUAGAUUUAAAGUUUUGAUGUUAUAUUGGACAUCCCCAAGUUAUAUAAUUAUUAAAUUAUGAUUUGAGAUUUCAUGUAGGAAUGGGGAAGUAACUGCAGAGAAAGUCUGAAGAUACUGGAUUAAAGAAUAAGCUUUUUUCUUAUACCUAGCUUAAUGAAAACACUAGUUAAAUACGAAUUUUCAGAUUGUAGAGUCAUAGCAAGUCAUAGUUAAGAUAAAAUCAAGGGAGUUCUUGUUGUGGCUCAGCGGAAACAGACCUGACUAGUAUCCACGAGGAUGCAGGUUUGAUCCCUGGCCUCAACUCAGUGGGUUAAGGAUCUGUUGUUGCUGUAAGCUGUGGUAUAGGUUGCAGAUGUGGCUUGGAUCCUGCAUUGCUGUGGCUGUGACAUAGGCUAGCAGCCAUAGCUCUGAUUCAACCCCCUAGUCUGGCAACCUCCAUAUGCCCCAGGUGCGGCCCUG